rnacentral:rRNA from 1 species
GCUUACGGCCACACCGCCUGGUUCACGCCCGAUCUCGUUUGAUCUCGGAAGCCAAGAUAGGUUGGGCCUGGUUAGUACUUGGAUGGGAGACCCUCCUGGGAAUACCAGGUGCUGUAAUGC